GGUCGGCGGCGCAAGAUGGCGGACGAGGGCUCUGUUUGCAGCUUCGUUUUCAAGAAGCGGGGCCUGGCGGCGGGCAGGGGCCGGCGCAAGCGACCCAGCAGCGACCAGGAGGAGGAGAGCAGCGGUGAAGAGGGCAGCACGGUGGUGCGCAAGGAGCGGCGGCGGGAAACCCCCAACCCCAUGAUUCAGAAGACCAGGAGAUGCACAAAGGAGAGGCCCGCGUAUGCGCUGAGCAGCAGUGACGAUGAGGAUCCAUCAAAGGAGAUCGGAGUUACUUACAAAUCAACAAGGUCGGCGAAACCGGUUGGCCCAGAAGACAUGGGAGCCACAGCAGUGUAUGAACUGGACACGGAGAAGGAGAAGGAUGCCCAGGCCAUCUUUGAGCGCAGCCAGAAAAUCCAGGAGGAGCUGAGAGGAAAGGAAGAUGAUAAAAUUUACCGUGGUAUUAACAAUUACCAGAAGUAUGUGAAGCCCAAGGACACAUCGAUGGGAAAUGCCUCUUCAGGAAUGGUCAGAAAAGGACCCAUCCGUGCUCCGGAACACUUGCGGGCCACGGUGCGGUGGGACUACCAGCCCGAUAUCUGCAAGGACUACAAAGAAACUGGGUUCUGUGGCUUUGGAGACAGCUGCAAAUUCCUCCAUGACCGCUCGGACUACAAACACGGCUGGCAGAUCGAACGGGAACUGGAUGAAGGCCGGUAUGGAGUCAAUGAUGAGGAAAACUAUGAGGUGAGCAGUGAUGAGGAGGAUAUGCCUUUCAAAUGCUUCAUCUGCAGAAGUUCCUUCAAGAACCCCGUGGUCACCAAGUGUAGGCACUACUUCUGUGAGAGUUGUGCCCUCCAACACUAUCGCAAAUCCCAGCGCUGCUACGUCUGUGACAAGCAAACCAACGGCGUCUUCAACCCAGCAAAAGAGCUCAUGGCAAAAUUGGAAAAACACAAAGGGGAGGAAGAGGAGGAGGAAGAGCAGCAGCAUUCAGACCAUGGAGAGGAGCCACAAUAGCAGAGUGCCCUGUUUUGUAUCUAGCUGAAUAAAGCUUUCAUGGGGGGAAAAAAAAAAUGCUCACAGCGGUUGCCUUGGGGCCAGCAGCUGUCGCCAGUGCACGUGUAUCCAACCAGCAGCUGCUAAAACAGUCCUGACUGGUGCCGGACUCCUGGUUUGCUGCUCUGUGAAGGCACAAGACAGAACAGCAAUUUCACACUGUCCUGCCAACAGCAAGAUUGCCAGGAGAGACACACAGGCAGAUGGAAACCUCUGAAGCAGAAAGGCACCACCAAGGAAAUGAAAGCAGGAGGAUCUGAUAAGCAGCGUUAUGGAGCAAUGACAGCUGGCGAAACACUGAGCAAUAUGUAAGUGGUUUGCUUUAUUAAAGUCCACUCCAGAUAUAACGUAAGCCAACAAAACAGAUGCAAAAAAAAAAAAAAAAAAUUAAUCUUAUUAAUGGUGUAGGCUGUUUCAACUGUAAUGGAAAAAUACCAUAAAUUCCCUUUUUAAAAGUCUUCCAGUACAUCAGAGGUCUUCACUCACCUCUCCAUGUUAGUAGUAACCGAUAACUGGGAGCUAAUGCAAAAGGAGCUCUACCAGAUACUUAUCAACAUCACACAAGAGUUUAAAAAAAAGUUAAACUGAAAUGUCAUUUAUGAAAUACUGCAAAAAAGCUCCUCAGUGGUUUCACACAGGAUAACUUUUGGUGUAUGGUCAAAAGCAAAAGCAGCUGCGAAAUGAAGUCACAUAUGACUACUAGCUUUAUGGCAUGACAUUCAUUAAGAGCUAGCUUUCCGGCUUGUUGAUCUGAUUUUAAUUUCAGAUAGAUUUAAGGAAAUUAAUCUUUGAAAGGCAACUACUGUUAUAAAUGCCAUAAGAAAAUCAGUUAUUUGAUGCUAGCAAGGAUCUGCAUUUGCCAAGUGAUGUUCAUCUGAAUUAGGCAGAGAAUGUCGGUUUUGUUCUGCUGCCUUCCUCUCCUCCUCCCUCCCCCACUUUCAGCAUGAAUAACAAAAAUUCUCCUCCCAUCCCUCUCCCUAAAUUAUUUACCUUUUUCUAUAGCCUUGCUGGAAAAAGUAAACUUUUAUUUAGCUGUACAAAUCAAUAUGAGAGUCAUCAAUACCACUGCAGAGGCAACCAAACCCAAGUGAAUAAUGUAACAAAACCAAAACAGAUGCUAAUCUCAACUUGCUUCCAGUCCAGCAUAUGCAUUAACGCUCAGCAAUUUAAAACAAGGUGUGAAUUUACUUGACUUUAUACAAAACAUUCCGUAUACAUCUCAUAUUUUCAGCUUUGUUUGUACCAGUAAAUUACAGGCACUGGCACAAAAAUCAAUUAUAAGCAGCCUGAACUGACACAGUUAUAAUCAAAUCACACUUAAUUUGUGUUUGUAAUUAGCUCAAACUAGAGCAACACCUGCACACAGGAAUGUUUCAAUAUGGUGUGGGCAGGUGGGAAAUCAUUUAGACAAAUAUAUUCUAUCAUAAAUUGUGUUAUUCUGCGAGCGCUGUUCAUUAUGAACCAGACAGUGUGCAAUCAGGGCCUGCAGAACAAAAAGCAUGAAGGUAAAGUUUUCAACUGCCACAUUUGGGCUGUACAUUUUUGAACAGACAUUCCAUGUUUGCUAGUGAUUUUAGUUUCUAAGAGACAAAGCUCUCUAAGCGGGCACGGAACUGGCUCUGAAGACAACCAGA